rnacentral:rRNA from 1 species
UACGUAGGGUGCGAGCGUUGUCCGGAAUUACUGGGCGUAAAGAGCUCGUAGGUGGUUUGUCGCGUUGUUCGUGAAAUCUCACGGCUUAACUGUGAGCGUGCGGGCGAUACGGGCAGACUAGAGUACUGCAGGGGAGACUGGAAUUCCUAGUGUAGCGGUGAAAUGCGCAGAUAUUAGGAGGAACACCGGUGGCGAAGGCGGUUCUCUGGGCAUUACCUGACGCUGAGGAGCGAAAGUGUGGGGAGCGAACAGG